rnacentral:rRNA from 1 species
AGUGAACGCUGGCGGUAGGCCUAACACAUGCAAGUCGAACGGCAGCACAGUAAGAGCUUGCUCUUACGGGUGGCGAGUGGCGGACGGGUGAGGAAUACAUCGGAAUCUACUUUUUCGUGGGGGAUAACGUAGGGAAACUUACGCUAAUACCGCAUACGACCUACGGGUGGAAGCAGGGGAUCUUCGGACCUUGUGCGAUUGAAUGAGCCGAUGUCGGAUUAGCUAGUUGGCGGGGUAAAGGCCCACCAAGGCGACGAUCCGUAGCUGGUCUGAGAGGAUGAUCAGCCACACUGGAACUGAGACACGGUCCAGACUCCUACGGGAGGCAGCAGUGGGGAAUAUUGGACAAUGGGCGCAAGCCUGAUCCAGCCAUACCGCGUGGGUGAAGAAGGCCUUCGGGUUGUAAAGCCCUUUUGUUGGGAAAGAAAAGCAGCAGGUUAAUACCCCGCUGUUCUGACGGUACCCAAAGAAUAAGCACCGGCUAACUUCGUG